AGCGGAUUGGCCUAGUGGUAGGGCCAUCCCACUCGUAAUGGGGAGAUCACUGGUUCAAUCCCAAUCCCAAUAUUCGGCA
rnacentral:tRNA from 1 species